rnacentral:rRNA from 1 species
GAUGAACGCUGGCGGCGUGCCUAAUACAUGCAAGUCGAGCGAACGGACGAGAAGCUUGCUUUUCUGAUGUUAGCGGCGGACGGGUGAGUAACACGUGGAUAACCUACCUAUAAGACUGGGAUAACUUCGGGAAACCGGAGCUAAUACCGGAUAAUAUUUUGAACCGCAUGGUUCAAAAGUGAAAGACGGUCUUGCUGUCACUUAUAGAUGGAUCCGCGCUGCAUUAGCUAGUUGGUAAGGUAACGGCUUACCAAGGCAACGAUGCAUAGCCGACCUGAGAGGGUGAUCGGUCACACUGGAACUGAGACACGGUCCAGACUCCUACGGGAGGCAGCAGUAGGGAAUCUUCCGCAAAGGGCGAAAGCCUGACGGAGCAACGCCGCGUGAGUGAUGAAGGUCUUCGGAUCGUAAAACUCUGUUAUUAGGGAAGAACAUAUGUGUAAGUAACUGUGCACAUCUUGACGGUACCUAAUCAGAAAGCCACGGCUAACUACGUG